GUGAGGAAUCUUGCGCAAUGGGCGAAAGCCUGACGCAGCGACGCCGCGUGGAGGAUGAAGGUCUUCGGAUUGUAAACUCCUGUCUAGUGGGACGAAUCCCGUGAGGGUUAACAGCCCUCGCGGUUGACGGUACCGCUGGAGGAAGCCCCGGCUAACUCCGUGCCAGCAGCCGCGGUAAUACGGAGGGGGCUAGCGUUGUUCGGAAUCAUUGGGCGUAAAGGGCGCGUAGGCGGCCAUUCAAGUCGGACGUGAAAUCCCCCGGCUCAACUGGGGAACGGCGUCCGAUACUGUUCGGCUUGAGUCCUGGAGAGGGUAAUGGAAUUCCCAGUGUAGCGGUGAAAUGCGUAGAUACUGGGAGGAACACCAGUGGCGAAGGCGGUUACCUGGACAGGUACUGACGCUGAGGCGCGAAAGCUAGGGGAGCAAACAGGAUUAGAAACCCGAGUAGUCC
rnacentral:rRNA from 1 species